CACUCUGUAAACCAGGCCCCCCAUUUCCUAUCCCAGCUCUGCUCUUGCUCACAGGCAUCGGGACGCCACACAUCGGGUUCCCGCCUCAGAGACGGCCCCGUUCAUGUGGCCAAAUGACCUUACAGCACUGAGGGAACCUCAACCCAUCACAUGUGCUUUGGAUGCACCGUGGAAGACCAGGGACGCCGUGCUCACCGCGCAGCAGCACUUCCUGCGAGGAGGCAGUCUUCGCCCACCCUCAAGUCUGGUGUCUUUAGCACUACAGACGACAUUGCUCAGCGCCGUUCGCUGAACACAGCCGUGAAGAACCAGCUCUCCACUUUCUCCUGCGUCGGGGAGCCUUCCCGUUUGUGCUGCACACCAGGCUGCAGUGCUAAUCGCACUUGGUGCGGCGCCUCGAGCACCGGGAUCCAACACGUUUAAUACAGCCGGCCUUGAGAGGGAGUUGGUGCACUCCGGGGACCUGGCUGGGUUGAAGAUCCCCUCAAGGCUUUUUAAGGUAAACGGUUCAGAGGAUCACACGGGAGUCUAACUCAACAAGUAUACAUCCGGUGCCGAGAAAAUAAAUCCCUUCUAUCCCUUUAAAUAAACACCGCCGCUUUUUCCUUUUGCCCUGAGGAAAAGCUGUCAGUUGUGUUGCCGUAUCACCCAGACGUCUCUCGAGUACCCUUAAGGGUAGUCGCACCGCCGGUUGAGAGACACUGAACUAGAGGGUCACUCCAACGCUGGGAGUCUGAAAGGCUGACGCAGACUCAGGUAUUAUGGAGUUUGCAUUCCACUUCCUAGAGACUAAGCAAACACUUCCACAGGCCAAAAUGUAAGGCAAAUAUUUGACAAUGGUGUGGACAUUUUUAAGAAAGGGGGGUUUUGGCCAGGCACUGUCUUUCAAAAUACAGCCCCACAGGACGUUUUAAAUCGCUCCCGAUUUCAUGGGACAGUGCUGGGGAAAGCAUCCGCCUCCGCAAUCCAGAGGAAGAAGCUGGCAGGAGGGGGGAAUUGCGGUUUGUUUUGUAUUGCGCUGGUAGGGUUUGAAGCAUCGAGUCAUCUAACUUCCUUACCGGGCUGGAAGGUUCCACUGGGCUCAUCACCAUGAGAGUAAGAGUACUCUCUUCUGUUGGGCCACGACGUCACCCAUUUUGUUUUCAUCCCUCUCCCUUGCACCUUCUCUUUCUUCAUGCAAGACGGAAACCCUGCUGGAAAUCCCAUGUGUUGACUAACAGCCUGCAGGACACUUCCUUAAGGAGCGUCGGAUCCCAGUAACAGAUUACCGAUGCACAGGGACUCGCUGACUCCCUCUGUCAGGGAGCUGGAGGAUUUCAGUCCGUGUCCAACACAGAACGCAAAGGGCUUGGAAUAAAAAA